rnacentral:rRNA from 1 species
AAGUUGUUGUAAUUAAAAAGCUCGUAGUUGGACUUUGGGAUGGGCCAGUCGGUCCGUCCUAGGUGUGCACCGGUCAUCUCGUCCCUUCUGUCGGUGAUGCGCUCCUGGCCUUAAUUGGCUAGGUUGUGCCUCUGGCACUUUUACUUUGAACAAAUUAGAGUGCUCAAAGCAGCCUACACUCUGUAUACAUUAGCAUUGGAUAAAAUUAUAGGAUUUCGUUCUUAUUACAUUCGCGACAAGUGGUGGUUGAAACUCACUCUCUCUUUUUGUCACGGCUACAACCUGUCGUGUG